rfam:Glycine soja cultivar W05 scaffold4162_3, whole genome shotgun sequence.
UUCUUAUUGCAUGAUGACUGUCACGUGUCAUAUUCUGAUUGAAUGUCAACUCCAUGAAAGAUGAAACGAAUUGUUGUUUUUAUUGACCAAUCAGAACAUGACACGUGACAGUCAUCAUGC